UACAGAGUUCCCGAGCGUUGUUCGGAUUCAUUGGGCGUAAAGGGUGCGUAGGCGGUGGGGUAAGUUGGAUGUGAAAUCUUGGGGCUUAACCUCAAAAUUGCAUUCAAUACUGCUCCGCUCGAGUUCUGUAGAGGAGAUUGGAAUUUACGGUGUAGCAGUGAAAUGCGUAGAUAUCGUAAGGAACGCCAGUGGCGAAAGCGAAUCUCUGGGCAGCAACUGACGCUGAGGCACGAAGGCCAGGGGAGCAAACGGG
rnacentral:rRNA from 1 species